rnacentral:rRNA from 1 species
AUUGAACGCUGGCGGCAUGGCUAAAACAUGCAAGUCGAGCGGGGAGCUUCGGCUCCUAGCGGCGAACGGGUGAGUAACACGUGGGCAACCUACCCUCAAGACUGGGAUAACACCGGGAAACCGGUGCUAAUACCAGAUAAUCUCAAGUCUCGCAUGAGACUCGAGUAAAAGACUUCACUUGAGGAUGGGCCCGCGGCGCAUUAGCUUGUUGGUGGGGUAACGGCCCACCAAGGCCACGAUGCGUAGCCGACCUGAGAGGGUGACCGGCCACACUGGGACUGAGACACGGCCCAGACUCCUACGGGAGGCAGCAGUAGGGAAUUUUCCGCAAUGGGCGAAAGCCUGACGGAGCAACGCCGCGUGAAUGA